ACGCUCGACACCUACGAGAGGCAGCAGUGGGGAAUAUUGCACAAUGGGGGAAACCCUGAUGCAGCGACGCCGCGUGAGCGAAGAAGUAUUUCGGUAUGUAAAGCUCUAUCAGCAGGAAAGAAGAAAGACGGUACCUGACUAAGAAGCCCCGGCUAACUACGUGCCAGCAGCCGCGGUAAUCUGAGCGGGCUGGCAAGGC
rnacentral:rRNA from 1 species